GAAAUGCGAUAAGUAAUGUGAAUUGCAGAAUUCAGCGAAUCAUCCAAUCUUUGAACGCACCUUGCGCUCCUUGGUAUUCCUUGGAGCAUGCCUGUUUGAGUAUCAUGAAAUCUUCAAAGUAAAUCUUUUGUUAACUCAAUUGGUUUCUACUUUGGUAUUGGAGGUCUUUGCAGCUUCACACCUGCUCCUCUUUGUUCAUUAGCUGGAUCUCAGUGUUAUGCUUGGUUCCACUCGGCGUGAUAAGUUAUCUAUCGCUGAGGACACUGUAAAAGGUGGCCAAGGUAAAUGCAGAUGAACCGCUUCUAAUAGUCCAUUGACUUGGACAAUACUUUUAUGAUCUGAUCUCAAAUCAGGUAGGACUACCCGCUGAACUUAAGC
rnacentral:misc_RNA from 1 species